UACGUAGGAUGCGAGCGUUGUCCGGAAUUACUGGGCGUAAAGCGUGCGCAGGCGGUGAUGUAAGACAGGUGUGAAGUCCCCGGGCUUAACCUGGGAACUGCAUUUGUGACUGCAUCGCUGGAGUGCGGCAGAGGGGGAUGGAAUUCCGCGUGUAGCAGUGAAAUGCGUAGAUAUGCGGAGGAACACCGAUGGCGAAGGCAAUCCCCUGGGCCUGCACUGACGCUCAUGCACGAAAGCGUGGGGAGCAAACAGG
rnacentral:rRNA from 1 species